GCUUCAGAAAGGCUCGGACACUUAUUGGCAAGGAAAUGGAUUCUGAAGAAGAAUGUGAGGAAUGUGAUGAAGAGGAAGGUUCUAAAGUGGAGUCAGAGUCUUGUGUGGCAAGCCUAUCCCUUGCUACCACAUUUGUCAACAAGUCCAUCUUCGACCUUUAAGAAAAUGACAACGUCAACAACGCUGAUGACUAUGAUGACGACUU
rnacentral:lncRNA from 1 species